UGAAGAACCACACUGUGGAGCAAUGUCUGUACAGCCUGGACAUAGCACAAAGACUUCGGACACGUAUUUUCUUAGGGUGUUAUUCCGUAUUCAUGCGAGAAUGGCUGAAGGUUUUUCCCAGAGAGCAAUUCCUUAUAUUGCGAACAGAGGACCAUGAUCAAGAUCCAAAAGCUCAGCUAACAAAAGUGUUCAACCAUCUGAAUCUGAAUUAUACCGAAGAGUCGAUGACUUCCAUUACUAACGUGCCUCAUCAACGGGUCAGUAAGAAGAAGAUACUUAAGGGACCGAUGCUUGAAAAGACCCGUGUCUUGCUGGACAAUUUUUACAACAGAUACAAGAAGGACUUGGCAGAUAUACUACAGGAUAACAGAUUUCUUUGGUUGACAUAGUUUAAAUGUGGUUGUAAUAUCAUAAACAAAGAAGAUCAUAUGAAUAUACAUUCC